CCUGUUGUUCCAGUGAGAUUACCCAGCCAUGGGAAUAAAGUGUUUGAAAUACCACGGUAGGAUCAUACGAUUCCUGUCCAUAACAAGGCUGACUCAGAACUAAAAAAAAUAGUGGUAUGUUUACUAUUUAUUAGCAAUCUACAAUAAGUUCCUAUAGUUUGUGUCAAUAAUACCUGAACAAAUAUGAGCAAUUUAUGUUUUAG